rnacentral:rRNA from 1 species
GGAUCGCAGGCUGCAACCCGCCUGCGUGAAGUCGGAAUCGCUAGUAAUCGCGGAUCAGCAUGCCGCGGUGAAUACGUUCCCGGGCCUUGUACACACCGCCCGUCACACCAUGAGAGUCGGGAACACCCGAAGUCCGUAGCCUAACCGAAAGGAGGGCGCGGCCGAAGGUGGGUUCGAUAAUUGGGGUGAAGUCGUAACAAGGUAAC